rnacentral:rRNA from 1 species
GGCUCAGGAUUACGCUCGCGACGUACCUAAGGUAUGCAAGUCGAACGAUAUUCCCGCCUCGGCGGGAUGACAGUGGCAAACGGCUGAGUAAUGCAUGAGAACUUGCCCCAAAGUUAGGCAUAGUCACGAGAAAUCGUGGGUAAUUCCUAAUAGUCUCUUCGGAGUAAAGCUUUAGCGCUUUGGGAUAGGCUCAUGUCCUAUCAGGUUGAUGGUGGGGUAACUGCCUACCAUGCCGAUGACGGGUAGCUGGUCUGAGAGGAUGUCCAGCCAGACUGGGACUGCGACACGGCCCAGACUCCUACGGGAGGCAGCAACUAGGAAUCAUGCGCAAUGGACGAAAGUCUGACGCUGUGACGUCGCGUGCUGGAUGAAGGCCCUAGGGUUGUAAACAGCUUUUAUUGGGGAACAAGUUCUGAGUGUACCCAAUGAAUAAGUGCCUGCUAAUCACGUGCCAGAAGCAUCGGUAAUACGUGAGGCACAAGCGUUAUCCGGAUUUACUGGGCGUAAAGAGAUGCGUAGGCGUCCUAGUAAGUUUCUAGUUAAAUCUUCCUGCUCAACGGGAAACAAGCUAGAAAAACUAUUAGGAUUGAGUUUGGUAGAGAAGGGGGGAAUUCCUGGUGGAGCGGUUAAAUGCGUUGAUAUCAGGAGGAACACCAAAUGCGAAGGCACCCCUUUGGACCAAUACUGACGCUAAGGCUCGAAAGCGUGGGGAGCAAAACGGAUUAGAUACCCGUGUAGUCCACGCCGUAAACGAUCCCUGCUAGAUAUUUGAA